CCCCUGUGUCUGCUGACUGAGUACCGUCCAACCCUGAGAGCGCAUAGAGCUAAGUCCCCUAACCAUGCAAGAGUUCUUGAUUGGCUGAUGGAAGGGAACUAGAGAAGGUAAUUGGUCGGGUAACCAGGUGGUCCGCUACACUCUCCUGCUAAAAAUGCAAUAUAUCUCUAGGGCAGUCUAAGGUGGUAAAAUGUGCUGAUAUAUUUUGCCUACCAAGUCUUUCUACAAUAUCCAUCUUCAUAUAGUUAGCA